rnacentral:rRNA from 1 species
GUGUCAGCAGCCGCGGUAAUACGUAGGGUGCGAGCGUUAAUCGGAAUUACUGGGCGUAAAGCGUGCGCAGGCGGUUAUAUAAGACAGAUGUGAAAUCCCCGGGCUCAACCUGGGACCUGCAUUUGUGACUGUAUAGCUAGAGUACGGUAGAGGGGGAUGGAAUUCCGCGUGUAGCAGUGAAAUGCGUAGAUAUGCGGAGGAACACCGAUGGCGAAGGCAAUCCCCUGGACCUGUACUGACGCUCAUGCACGAAAGCGUGGGGAGCAAACAGGAUUAGAUACCCUGGUAGUCCACGCCCUAAACGAUGUCAACUGGUUGUUGGGUCUUCACUGACUCAGUAACGAAGCUAACGCGUGAAGUUGACCGCCUGGGGAGUACGGCCGCAAGGUUGAAACUUAAAUGAAUUGACGGGG